rnacentral:sRNA from 1 species
UUAUUGCGUUAGGGAUAGGAAUGUUAUCCUUUUGUGACAAGAUGAAAGUCUUGUUUGACUACUAAAAGAAAUGGAACAAAAGAUAUAAUGGAUAGCCCGGCCCUUG